UACGUAGGGUGCAAGCGUUGUCCGGAAUUAUUGGGCGUAAAGAGCUCGUAGGCGGUCUGUCGCGUCUGCUGUGAAAACUCAGGGCUUAACCCUGAGCUUGCAGUGGGUACGGGCAGACUAGAGUGCGGUAGGGGAGACUGGAAUUCCUGGUGUAGCGGUGAAAUGCGCAGAUAUCAGGAGGAACACCGGUGGCGAAGGCGGGUCGCUGGGCCGUAACUGACGCUGAGGAGCGAAAGCAUGGGGAGCGAACAGG
rnacentral:rRNA from 1 species